rnacentral:rRNA from 1 species
GAUGAACGCUGGCGGCGUGCUUAACACAUGCGAGUCGAGCGAGAAGUUUUGAAAAGAUUCUUCGGAUGAAAUUUAAAAUGGAAAGCGGCGGACGGGUGAGUAACGCGUAGGCAACCUGCCCCAUACAAAGGGAUAGCAUUUGGAAACGAAUAUUAAUACCUUAUGAAACUUAACUAGUGCAUGCUAGGUAGGUCAAAGAUUUAUCGGUAUGGGAUGGGCCUGCGUCUGAUUAGCUAGUUGGUGAGGUAACGGCUCACCAAGGCGACGAUCAGUAGCCGACCUGAGAGGGUGAACGGCCACAUUGGAACUGAGACACGGUCCAAACUCCUACGGGAGGCAGCAGUGGGGAAUAUUGCACAAUGGGGGAAACCCUGAUGCAGCAACGCCGCGUGAACGAUGAAGGCCUUUGGGGCGUAAAGUUCUGUUCUAGGUGAUGAAAACUGACAGUAACCUAGGAGAAAGCCCCGGCUAACUCCGUG